UCACAUUUAUGUGAGUAUGUGAAUAACAUAUAUUAAUUCAUUUAAAUUCAUAUAAAAUUUGUAACUUUUUAACGCUUAAAAAAUCGUCUAAACCCACCUAACCCACAUCAGUUCCUAAAACUCGUCUAAACCCACCAGACCCACCUAAUAAACCUGACCCAUCGGAGUCACAUUUGACUUAAACCUGUCGUAACCCACCAAACCCAUCGGACCCACUCGACACGCACAAACCACCACGACCCAUGUAACCCCCGACCCAUCAUGUACUUUGUCCAUUUUUUCCGACACAACCCACGACUCAACCCACCCUGAUUUAACUAUGGAGGUUUUUGUGUUAAUUAUCCCCGCCCCAUGACCCGCCAAACUCACUCAUGAGCCAUCGAACACGCCACGUUGGCCAUCUCAAGUUAUGCAUCUUAUCCGAAAUUUCUUUUACCUUACAUAGUAACUUUAAAAUUUAAAUAUGAAUCUAUAUAAAAUGUGCAGUAUAUCUACUCAUUUUUGAGAAUGUUGAACUUAUUUUAUUAACAUAAUAUUUUAAUAACUAUAAAAAGUAUGGAAAUAUUCGGAACAAAUGAUUAUAACUUAUAUUACAUAUGUGUUUUCUUCAUCCUUGAAAAAAAAGUUAUACGUUCAGAUAUUAUGCCUUUUUUUUUUAUUGUGUUACUCGUAUCAUUUUGUUUCCCACCUCAUUUUGUUACUUGCUCUAUUUCAAGUUUACUCUUUUGAACUGAUCAAAUCCAAUAAAUUUCAUUAGGUCUAUUAGAUUUAAUCAAGUCCAAAUCCAAUAAGUUUAGAUAAAUUUAAAUUCAUUUUAAAUCCUAACACUUUAAAACAUGUAAACUUGGAGUUACUAUUGCAACAAUAGUGUUCUACCAUUUUUACCCCCACUCAUAUAUCUUUAUUACUCAUUGCCCUUCUGUCCAGCUUCUGCCACGUCGCUUCUUCAUCCACCGUUGAUCUUGUGCCACUUCUCCCUCUUCAUUCUUCACCUCCACUGCUUCCCUUCCUCUUUGUUCUUUUGCGGGUUUCUCAGAACUCCUGAUGAGUUCCUCCCUUUUUCUUCACCCUUUCUCUUUCCUAUGUGAAUGUCGAACAUCGGUACUCUCUCCUCUUCAUUUUCUUCCAUUUUUUUAUCUCCACCUACUUUCCAGAUUAUCUUGUCUUUCUACGGAUGUGAAGAUCAGAAAUUGAAAAAAAGAAUGUGCUAUGGAUUGCGAUGCCGGAUUUUUCUCUCCUCCUCCAGCUUGCAAUCAACACUCUCACUUCGUCUUCUUUCUCCCUGGCUAGAAGAGAAAAGAUCAGUGAGAGGAUGAGAAUAUUACAGGAUCUUGUCCCUGGGUGUAAUAAGGUUCAGGUCAUUGGCAAGUCACUGGUACUUGACGAGAUCAUAAAUUAUAUCCAAUCAUUACAACGUCAAGUUGAGCUUUAAAGUGAACCUUGAACUUAUUGCAGUUUCUUUCAAUGAAAUUAGAAGCUGUCAAUACGAGAACCAGCCCUGGUAUUGAAGGAUUUCCGUCAAAAGAUCACAAAAUAUUUCCGUGGAUGCGUAGGAGAUGAACAAUCUUGCAAUUCCAGAACCAAGGGCUUUUCCAUGUAUUGCUUCAGUCUUGAAGUGAAAGGCCAUUGGAUGUUACCCAUGCUCAUGCUUUUGUUCAGGCCGGAUGUUCAUCUGCCCAGCUUUCAAGUAUAUUACCGCCUGGGGACCGCCUUAUCAGGAGAGAUGUGAAAAAUGAAGGGAGAAAAAUCAUUUAUACGUUCCCCAAGUUGUCGACAAAAUCCGGACUAUUUUGUAACCGCCAACAUGUAGUAGGACAAGAUUUGGUCAUGAAUCAAAUCACUUGUUGUUUGUGAAAAUAAUUAUAAUGCAGUAAACUUUUGACACAGUGUGUUAUAACUCGUCUUUUAGAAUCAACAUUGUGUAUAUGUGAAAUCUUAGUAGUAUACGCUUUUUGAAAGCAACCAUUGUUUAUGGUGAAUGAUUUUAGUAUUUAUAUUACCUUAUGUGCUCUAGGAAUUCAGGGUAUUUCAUAUGAACAUAGACCACUUAAGG